rnacentral:rRNA from 1 species
CCUACGGGAGGCAGCAGUGAGGAAUAUUUGUCAAUGGACGAGAGUCUGAACCAGCCAAGUAGCGUGAAGGAUGACUGUCCUAUGGGUUGUAAACUUCUUUUAUAUGGGAAUAAACUGUUCCACGUGUGGGAUUUUGUAUGUACCAUAUGUACAAUGAUCGGCCAACCUCGUGCCAGCCGCCGCGGUAAUACGGAGGAUCCGAGCGUUAUCCGGAUUUAUUGGGUUUAAAGGGAGCGUAGGUGGAUUGUUAAGUCAGUUGUGAAAGUAUGCGGCUCAACCGUAAAAUUGCAGUUGAAACUGGCAGUCUUGAGUACAGGAGAGGUGAGCGGAAUUCGUGGUGUAGCGGUGAAAUGCUUAGAUAUCACGAAGAACUCCGAUGGCGAAGGCAGCUCACUGGACUGCAACUGACACUGAGGCUCGAAAGUGUGGGUAUCAAACAGGAUUAGAUACCCCAGUAGUC